rnacentral:ncRNA from 1 species
AAGUAUUAAUAAAAUUUAUAUGUUUACAUUUUUUGUAUUUUUUAUUAAAGUUUUAUUUUGGCUUAAAAGAUUAAGUUUAACUUUAUUAUUAUAUGUAAGAUUUAACAAAAAUAAUAUUAAUUUUAAAUAAAUUAAUAUUUUAUAUUAAGCAGUAAUUAAUUUUUAAAUAAUAAAUAAUUUUAGUUUUAGUAAUAUAUAAUAAUAUUAACAAAAUUUGUGCCAGCAGUUGCGGUUAUACUAAUAAUAUAUUUUAAUUUUUUUGGGAUUAAUUAAUUUAAUAAAAUCAAUAAUUUUAUACGGUAAUUUUUAAGGUGGAAUUUAAAAUUUUUUAUAAAUUAAUAAGUUUUAAUGAAGUUAGGAAAUUUUCUUAAAAAACUAGGAUUAGAUACCCUAUUAUUUUAAAUAAAUAUUUUAUAACCUUAAUUAUUAUAAGUUAUGUUCUUAAAAAUUAAAGAAUUUGGCGGUAUUUUAGUCUUUUCAGAGGAAUCUGUUGUAUAAUUGAUAGUCCACGAUUAACUAAAUUUUUUUUAAGUAGUUUAUAUAUCGUCGUGAAUUUAAUAUAUUUUCAAAUUUUGAAUAUUAUAAUUAUUUUAUGAAAUUUUAUAUCAGAUCAAGGUAUAGCUUAUAAGAAAAUACUAAUGGAUUACAAUAAAAUUAUUUAAGGAUUAAUAUUUAUAAUAAAUAUAUGAAUAUGGAUUUGAAAGUAAUAUUAUUUAAAUUAAUAAUAUGAUUAAAGCUCUAAGAUAUGUACAUAUCGCCCGUCGCUUUCUUUUUAAAAAGAAAUAAGUCGUAACAAAGUAGAUUUACUGGAAAGUGAAUCUGGAA